GCGAAACCGGGUAGAUCUGUAGAAACGCUGUAGUACACAUUCCAGGCCCAUAAGGGGCGCUGCUUCUGGUACAGAAAUCCAGAAGAAAUGAAAUAAGAAGAAGAGGCGAGCAUGCGCAUAAAGGCAUAGGCAUAAAGGCUGCCCUUAUGCGCAGGCUCGCAUGUGAUUUCUGAGACUCCGCGGGCUUAAGAGCCAUUGGCUAGGAGGUCGAGGGGUGGGGCGAUGACGUCAUGGUUUGCGGUUUCAGUCGGUUUCAGGCGUACACACGAAUCCAAAACGAAACCGGGUAGAUUUGAAACCACCUCCGAGGGUGGUUUCAGAAGUUUGCGGUUUCGGUCAGCGGAUUCGCCGGCUUCGUGUGUACGGAAGGCCGAACCGUACAAUACCUUUGCGGUUUCGCCAUGAAAUCGGCUUCGUGUGAACGGGGCCUGAGAGU
ensembl:lncRNA